UAAAAGUAUUACAUAAAAAAUUUCAACUACAAGUGCAGACUUCCCGAAAGUCGUCGGUCCGACGGACAUGACCGGCAAAUUUUGAUCCGGUCCGACGAUUUCUGAACAAAAAUCGUUCCGACUGUCCGCCUAUUUUUUAUUCCCGGUGACCAUAUUUUAGCAUAAAAUUCCGGUAACCGGGUUUUAGCAUGAGGGCCUUAGAAAAACGUUACACAAGUUUUCAUUGGUCACUUUCGGCACAGUGCCCGUAGAAGAACCAAUCGGUGCGCAUGUUACUUAAUGUCAGUCAUUUGCGCAUCAAACAUGGCUUCUCUAACAUUUUACGAAUGCUAGUUAAAUAAAGAUAAAAUUUUCAAUCAAUGAAUGCUCUGAAAGGAAAAUGAAUAUGAAACGAAAUGUCAUGAAAUAAUUAUUUUGUGAAAUGGCAAAGAAAUAGGAAAUGACUCAUUAUUGACAAAGAAAAGCAAGUAAUAACCUGCGAUGAUGAUGGUGAAACUCAAACCUCCAGAAACAGAAAGUUAUGGACACUUUGCUGGCAGAGUCUAGAUGUGCCUGCAUAUAAUUGAACAUACUACACCAGAACCAUUGGCAUCACAGGAGGUUGUCACCCUGUCCAACACUGAAAAAGUCCUUACAUCAGGCUCUUGAAAUGGAGAUUUAACACUCUCUGUGACAAACAGGGCUUAAACCUUGAUUAUAAUUAGGAGUGUUUUGAAUAUCAAUAUGAACUUGAAUUUUGACAGAGUGAUGAUUUUCAUAAGAGACAUACUAUAAAGCCUUUAUAAAGAAAUAAGCUGCUAUUGAUGAAUAAAGCAAUGUUAUUA